rnacentral:lncRNA from 1 species
GGGUUGAAGUUUUCAGCUGGUAUGUUUCAUUAAAAUUUACCUGUACAGGUAACUCAGGUUUCUUUUAAAAUUGACAUUUCACCUUUUUUUGAAAAUGUAGAAUAAAAUAUUGUUUAAGUCUGUUUAAUUUAUUAUUUGUUUUUUUGUUUUAAUGUUAUUUAAAAUUUUUAUUUUUGUUUUUUUUUUCAUUUUUGUAUGGGUUUUUUUAUUACUUUUUUGUUUCUUAUUCUUUUAAUUUAAUCUUGGUAAGAAUCUUCAGUAGAAAUGGCAAAAAGUCAAAGAUAAAGCUAUUGACUAACAUUUGAAAUAAACACUUUUAAUAAUUGUUUU